UAUACACAAAAAGCCCAAGCCAGGUAUAAGACCAUUUGGUUAAUGUUUAGUUAUAUAACCCAUUUUGAACAAAAGGUCUGAUGUUUUAUUUGGCAAUCGACCAAAGCUCUAACGUUUUAUAUUUUAGUCGAGGAAAGUGUGCCGUUUUUAUUGGUUUGAUUAGGUUUUCUUCUUCUUCUUCUUCUUCGUCCCUUCAAUCUGACCAUCCCUGCUGUUUUUCCUAAGCUUGUGAAAAGACGAGUCUUUAUGACUUUUUACCUUCAACUCUUUUAAUGUCUGUCAAUUCUUAAAUUUUAUAAUAAAGGAUUUUUUUCAUUAAAACCAUUUACAAUCUCAAACUCUCCGUCUCCCUUCGGAUACAAUGAAACCGAAAAAUUAAUUCAACCCCUAUAAACUAAAGAGGGUCGAUAGCAGGAUGGAUCUUCACAGACACUCUCAGUUUAUCUUCUAUCUUCAAUCGGAGAGGGAGCUUGACGAACAAGUAUGAUUGAUUCUCUUCAAUUUCCUUCUUACGAAGCCCAAAGAGAUCUAUGGAGUAGCUGAUCUGCGUGUAACCAUUUGUUUCUCGCACAGCUCUGUUCUUCUUCUAUCUUGACCACAUAUGCACCCUAUAAAACCCUUACAUUUGUUGGUUUGAGUAAUGGGAAUUGAAGGAGAGAGUGGAGGGAUACAAGAUAUUGCUUUUAUGAUGAGCGUUGAUGAGAAAGAUGAUGAUUUCAGAGACAAAGAUGAAGUUACUAUCGGUCGAAUGAAGAAUCGGGAAAGACAACGCAGAAAGAAGAGGGAGAGGAAAAAUCAAGAAUACGCCAUUUUCAGAUCUAACUAGGAAAGAAGAGACGCCACUCUCCGCAAUCCAGUAUCCAACUUCUCAUAAUAUAUUGAUGUGAUAUCCAUCAUUGAGGAUGGAACACCCCCCUGAGGACCUGGUAUGGGAGGAUGAAACUGAGGAUGAAACUGAGGAUGAUGCCAUCGACAAUCUUCUCGGACUAACAAAAGGAGGAUAUUUUUUUUUAAACACAAUGUUCACUGGAGGAUUGACUGCAGCUGACAUGGUUCGUAUUAGCAAAUAAGAAACAAAAAGAGAAGGAGGCAAAAGAGAAGAAAGAGGCCAAAGAGAAGAGAGAAAGAGAGAGCACCCCGGGGUCACCUGAGACGGAUGCUUCCGAUGUUGUUUACCAUAACCAUAUUGCAAACCUUGUUCAGUCCCAUCUGAAGCCUAACAUUGACAACGCUGUCGCAACAGAAGCGUAACUUCCAAGGGAAUUAGUGGGUGUCAAUAAUAAUCUUUUUCAUUAUCUUAUCGAAAUAUUCAUAAUAUUUGUAUGGUAUAGGAAUAAUUAUAAAAAAUGAUGUAAUCUCAGAAAGUUCCAUCUAAGAUAUGUAGUAGACGUUACAAUCACUAGGUUUGUUUAUACUAUUUUCAGAUUAUAUGGUAAACUAUC